CAUGCAAGUCGAACGAGAAUCUACUGAAGGAGGAUUCGUCCAACGGAAGUAGAGGAAAGUGGCGGACGGGUGAGUAACGCGUGAGGAACCUGCCUUGAAGAGGGGGACAACAGUUGGAAACGACUGCUAAUACCGCAUGAAGCAUAGGGGUCGCAUGAUUCUUAUGCCAAAGAUUUAUCGCUUCAAGAUGGCCUCGCGUCUGAUUAGCUAGUUGGCGGGGUAACGGCCCACCAAGGCGACGAUCAGUAGCCGGACUGAGAGGUUGAACGGCCACAUUGGGACUGAGAUACGGCCCAGACUCCUACGGGAGGCAGCAGUGGGGAAUAUUGGGCAAUGGGCGCAAGCCUGACCCAGCAACGCCGCGUGAAGGAAGAAGGCUUUCGGGUUGUAAACUUCUUUUAAGAGGGAAGAGCAGAAGACGGUACCUCUAGAAUAAGCCACGGCUAACUACGUGCCAGCAGCCGCGGUAAUACGUAGGUGGCAAGCGUUGUCCGGAUUUACUGGGUGUAAAGGGCGUGCAGCCGGGUCUGCAAGUCAGAUGUGAAAUCCAUGGGCUCAACCCAUGAACUGCAUUUGAAACUGUAGAUCUUGAGUGUCGGAGGGGCAAUCGGAAUUCCUAGUGUAGCGGUGAAAUGCGUAGAUAUUAGGAGGAACACCAGUGGCGAAGGCGGAUUGCUGGACGAUAACUGACGGUGAGGCGCGAAAGUGUGG
rnacentral:rRNA from 1 species